UAGGGAAUCUUCCGCAAUGGGCGAAAGCCUGACGGAGCAACGCCGCGUGAGUGAUGAAGGUCUUCGGAUCGUAAAACUCUGUUAUUAGGGAAGAACAAAUGUGUAAGUAACUAUGCACGUCUUGACGGUACCUAAUCAGAAAGCCACGGCUAACUACGUGCCAGCAGCCGCGGUAAUACGUAGGUGGAAAGCGUUAUCCGGAAUUAUUGGGCGUAAAGCGCGCGUAGGCGGUUUUUUAAGUCUGAUGUGAAAGCCCACGGCUCAACCGUGGAUGGUCAUUGGAAACUGGAAAACUUGAGUGCAGAAGAGGAAAGUGGAAUUCCAUGUGUAGCGGUGAAAUGCGCAGAGAUAUGGAGGAACACCAGUGGCGAAGGCGACUUUCUAGUCUGUAACUGACGCUGAUGUGCGAAAGCGGGGGGAUCAAACAGG
rnacentral:rRNA from 1 species